rnacentral:tRNA from 1 species
CGGCCGAUUCGUCCGGCAGGUGUGUUCCCGCGGCGGGCGCCGGAUCGGGCGUCCGGGGAAGAUCGCCGGCGUUCUGAUCCGUUGCGGGCCGA